AAUGUGUAGAGAAAUCUGCCCGAAGAGCGAAUCACGUGACAUUUGUGUUGUGCAGUGAACUCGUGUUCACUCUCAGUAAGUUGUAGGCAGUCGUUGGCGGACAAAGGAGGACAAAGAACGAACACAGGAAGGAAGCUUGGGAGCCAGAGACUGUAUUCCCAUGGAAAUGUGAAAUAGUGCCAGUCCUUUAGUAGGGACAUUGAGGGAGCCAAACACGGUGCAGGUCCUUCUGUAUGUUCCCUGCCUUCAAUCUUCUAGACCUCUACUGCCGGUGUCUUCUGUUCUUGGAGAGACUGGCAAAAAUGACUGAUGAAUAAAGCUGUUAUAACAACAAUUAAGCAACAUGAGAUCAGCUAACUCAGACGCCUAACUACCAGUAGCUGCUGGAAAUGUGGGACAUAGUUAGCAUUGAAUAACUUCAAGCUGGAUCUUGUCUGGAACUUUCUGGAGUUCAUUUGAACCACAUCUGUACAGUCAACACUAUAAUUCAGAUCUGUCGUAGGGUUCAUGGAGGUCAUAGCCAACAUAAUACAGAUGCCCCUGUUCCAAGAUUCAUUCCUGCAAACCAAGACCAAACUGACGGAUAAAAUAUCGGCAAAUGCAUUUGUGUCCCUUGCUUGAAGCUGCUUCCCAUGGAAUUUUUUCACGAAGUCAUUGACUGUCGACGUGGCAUGAAGACAAAAUGCACUGAUCAAACCAAGUUUCUCGCCGUUUUCUGGCAGCCAAUAGAAGGGCCGAGGAUACCAGUGCGAGUCAAGUGUUGAAUUUUCCACAAAAUAGCACAGAUUCAGAGCAAUUGUUUCUCUCUGGUCAGAAAAAAAGAUCAGAGAAAUAACUUAUCAAUGAUAUAUUCCUGUUAGUAAUAAUUGAUCGCAGACUGAAUGCUACCAUGGGUCUACUGGCAAGCUGGAAAGAUACAAAGAUAAAGAUAAUUUAUUAAACUUACUGAACAUGACAUUAGAGAAUGUUCAGUUGUGAAAGUGAAAAAGGCAUUAAAAAUAUUAAGAUCAAGUGCAAAUUUGAUGGUUCAUUAUUGACCUUAACACUUACUGAAUGUAUCAUUAAAGGAUGUUCAAGUGUGACAGUGAAAUAGACAUUAAACAUUAAAGACCAAGUUGUGGUUUAAGAUAGAAUACUGAAAAGAUCAACACCAGCAUGUUAACAAUAAUGUUACAAUUUAUUUUAUGGUAUUAAGAACCCUAGCAUUAAUACGAAUUUUGAUGUUGUACUUAACAACGUUCUCCAUCUUUUAUUUGCUCCAUCGCACUCGCAUGAGAUAUUAUAGUUGACAAGAUCCUUGUUAGUUAGCUUUCAGUGUCUUCUAACAAUUUUGGCAUAAACACUGCUGUAACAUCAGUUAGUUGAUCAAUGGUCAAUGACAAAAUAACACCAGUUGGCUCAUUUUCGACUCUGUAUGUGCGCUCACAACCAAGGCACUCAAAACCAAGGCAGUCUUUGUAUUAAAAUUUUAAGUGUU
rnacentral:lncRNA from 1 species